GGCGAACGGGUGAGUAACACGUGAGCAACCUACCUUUCAGUGGGGGACAACAUUUGGAAACGAAUGCUAAUACCGCAUAAGCGCACAGAGCUGCAUGGCUCAGUGUGAAAAACUACCGGUGGUAUAAGAUGGACCCGCGUUGGAUUAGCUAGUUGGUGGGGUAACGGCCCACCAAGGCGACGAUCCAUAGCCGGCCUGAGAGGGUGAACGGCCACAUUGGGACUGAGACACGGCCCAAACUCCUACGGGAGGCAGCAUG
rnacentral:rRNA from 1 species